rnacentral:tRNA from 1 species
ACAUUUAAGUGUAGGGCACAUAAAUUUUUGAAAUUUAAGGGUUAAACGACUGUUUAAAAAUGUAAA